GGCCGACAGAAAAUACGCUUUCCCACUUCGAAAACGGAAUCUUGCUCAGGGCGCCAAGGACCGCGGGGCAAAUAUGGAAAACUAUCAGGGACUCUUUACGAAGAAUUGCAGCGAAAGGGUAUGUUUUCAAGAAAGAAAAACACCGGGAUGAAGAGGAGCUCACCACGAUCUCGUCUAAGCAAUUGGUUGGGUCCGAGAGAGAACGGAGAGGGCUUGCCGCGGAGAGGAACAAGAUCGGCCAUGCCGAGAUCCGAACUCCAGAGAAUACGGCGACUAGGGCUCGGUUUCACAACUUGGAUGCAAAGAGGGAGCCGCGGGGUUUACCUAGGGCUUUAUAGGGGCUUGAUUUGCACAAAAGGCAAGAGAAUCCCGCUGUUCCCGGGAUUGAGUCGGCCGGUUUGUGAGUCCGGGUCGACUACGAACAGAGGUAGGGGACGAGCGCUGUCCCGCAGGCCCCACUUGUCAUAGAAAGAAGGGUGGGACCCGACUGUCAGCGGGUCAAGAAGAGGGGAAGGAAAAUCGCGCCUGGUAGCCUGACUGCUGGGCCGCACAGCGCGUUGGGCUGGGGCGGAGGAAUUGGGCCGGGCGAGGGAGAAGAAUGGGAGAGGGGUUUUUUUUUCCUUUUCUUUUCUUUUGUUUUCUUAUUAUUCCAAAGCUAUUUUCACAUCAUUUCAAAACAUUUUGAAUUAUUUUAAAAUUUUGAGUUCAAAUACACUCAUCACAAUAAAUAGAAUGCAAAGGCAUGCAUGCUCAAGCAUGUUUUCUACGUCCUACGAUGAAUUUUAGUUUAAUGAAAAAUAUUAUUUUCCUAUGUUUCAUGAGCACAAAAAUUCAUAAUUAAAUCAUUUUAGCUCUAUUUCCCAGAAAACAAUUUUUAGGGUGUUACAAAUCUACCCCCCUUUAGAUGAAUCUCGUCCUCGAGAUUCGGAAGAUGGUGAUCAAAGAGAUGUAGAUACUCCACUUUUGAACCUUGUUCACUUCCUUGAGUAGCUCUUUCUUAGUAACCAUUCUAUGGCCUUUGUCACUCCGAACAUCUCCAUCAAUGGUUCCCAAGAGUUCAGCAAUGUAAUUCGUAUAGAUAAGGUUUUUUUUUACUCAUAGCUUAUCUGGGGUAUAUGUUCCUUGCCCAUCCAUUUAAAACCUGAUGCAUUUCCAACCAUGAUAUACUCAACUUUCUCCUUAUUACUUUCAUCGUCCCAUUUCACAAUCAUCCUUCUCCUUCUUCCAAAGUGAGCCCUAUCAAUUUCCAAAUUUGUAGUGUUAGUAAUAUCACUCAACCUCCGCACACAAAUCCUCAAAUCUAGGUGUUGUCCAAACUUUUCCUAGCACACUCUUUAUGAUAAGAGCUUUGGCAUCGACAUAUACUUCUCCAUAAUCCCACCACUAGAGACAACAUAUUCAAUUUAGAGAACUUAGUUCACUCAAAACUUACUAGCCAUGCAUGGUGAAAUAAUAAGGUUUCAUAACUCUCUGAAGAAUCAUCCGUAGAUGUUCGAUAUCUCUUUCCAAUAUCAUUAAUGUCAUCUUGUCUUGGGCAUGUUGGAAGUUGAACCUCCAUUUGAUAAUAGCUCAAUGUGGAGACCAAUCUUGACGAAUACUUGAACUCAUUGGUGCAAAGAGUAACCACUCUUGAGCAAAGAUAUUUGUGGUUGAUAGGGAGUUGUCCACCAAAGGAAUAACAGAUCUUCCAAAUAAAAUACUUGAACACAUAAAACCUUUGUCUUGCAACUUCUAUAGCUUGGCUACCCCCCUUAAGAUGAGAUCAGCUAGGGGAUACCAAGGAUGGCUUGAACAUUCUUAUGAGUAGGUUAACUACCAUAAAAGAGCUUCUUAUAUCCAAGAGAACUCAUAUACAUAGACAAGAACAAGAAAUCAGAAAUUCCUCGCAAGAUGAAAAACAGCAACUUAGUAAACCAGCUACAACUAAUGUUCCGUCAACCUGAUAGAGUUAUGGUCUACACUGCUGGAAAGCUUAUCAAAUUCUCCACAACUUUCUUGUUGAUCACUUCCCCAUAUUCGGGCGUUAAAAUAAGGUUUGAUAAUCCAACAUAAAAUCUGUCCAGGAAGUCUGACAACACAGACACAGCAUCUUGAAACAGUCAUAUCAUGAGCCAUAGAAACCAUAUAAUGACGAUCCUUACAAUGUUGAAAAGCUUAUGAAAUCCUCUGAAACUUUUGUAUACAACUUUUUCCCAGAUUAUGAAGUUAAUUUGGCUGAAAUUAGGAAAUACUAGGACUGUCCAGACUUUGAAAUAGAACAGAAACAUCCAAUUGCAUCUGUCAUAUCUCAGGAUCUACUUAUCCAAAUAAGUUCUAGCUUACACCGUUGGAAAGCUUAGAAAAUUGUCUACAACUCUUCUAUAGAACACUUUUCCAAAUUCUAUAGUUAUAUUUGUCUAGAACAGUAGGCAACCGAACUGAUCCAGAUUCCUGACAGCACAUAUGUAUCAUCUUGUGAUUUUUGUAACUUCCAAACCAUAAUAGAUAUGAGGGUGAUCCUUGCGGUCAGAGAAAUAUCUUGAAGUCUAGUUGUUCCCAGAAAAAUUUGAUAGACGUUGCAUGAUCAGAACUUGAGAUACACCAGAAUUAUUGCAGUCUGCUUCAGAAAACAGCAAAGGAUAGAAACAGGAUAUAACCGAACCCAACUACUUAUUUCACUACUCCUUAUGCCUUAGGCCUAUAAACUAAAUGAUAUCGUGGAGAAAACCCACAAGAUCAUUGCACUCAUUACAAAGAUCCAAAUCAAUCAUAAGCAUAAUAACAAACCAAACCAAGCAUCAAAGGUUCACACUUCAAGCAUUAACUCAACUUGCGGUACUAUCGUUCUCUUCCUAUUAAGGGCAAAGAUCCUAAAACUUAUAUUUCAAGGACACAAGAAGGUGGUAAGAAAAGGUUCUAAUAGCAUACCAAAUCAAGGAGUGAAGGUGAGAGCAAGUACUCUUAAAAUAAGCAACAAGGUAGAGAAAUAGCAAGGAUAGGGAUAUAGUAUGGAUGAAAAUAUCAAGGUUUAUAGAGCAAGGAUUUUAUGACAAUUCCAAAACCUUAAGAUGACCAAUUUCUAACUAGGCUUGCGUCCUACAGUCAGCAUUGCUCUGAUACCACUUUGUAAUACCCGAUUUUAAGGACAAAACCAGAUAUACACCAUAUGUGAGUUUUAAAAGCCAAAUCUCACAUAUAGCUACAAAAUAAGAGGUAAUAUCAAAAGACAAUGCAUAAAUUAUAUAACGAACGUAGUAUAAAAGAUAUAACCUUUGAUAGCAAACAGCGGAUAGACAACAUCAAACUUCGGGUAUUAACUUCUCUCCACAGGAUCCAACUGACUGGUUGAGCACAAGCCUAACAUCUCCUGAAGUGUGGGGGAAAUUGCAAGAGUGAGCACAUAUCGUACUCAACAAGUAUAACCAGGGGUUCAUGAGGCUCAAAUGGCUGACACUGGUUUAACUGCAUUUAGCUUUUAAUAGUGGAUAACAUAUUUAAUCAUUGGAUAGCAAUAUCAAGGUAGCAUACUAAAUCCCAUAACCACAUGACCAAUGUAUACAAGAAUUAAGAAUAUCACAUAUAAACAACACAAUAAACCAUCAUUUAUUAUCAUUAUUCACGUUCAUCAGAGUCCAUCUAUUCCGUCAGUUUUCCGGGCCGCCCGUAUCCGUGGGCACGGCUAGUAUACCAGAUUUAACACUCUGCAGAGGUUGUACAUCUUUACCCAUGAGUCGUGAUUUACCCUUUCACCCGAGGUCAUGAGUCUCUUAACCCCCUUCCAAGGGAGGUCGGCAGGGAUCACUAUGAAGCCUUUCAAAGGUUUCGUCUAACAAGUUAGGGCCAUUAGAUUCACUCGGCAGGCAGAUAUAGAGCCCCCCUUCCAUGGCACAUAACCCGCAGCCUAUACACAUGGAUAGAGGCCACACUAUACCCAACGUGUCUAGCCAUUCUUACGCCAUUUAAGGUAACCGCUAACAAGCUAGAAAAAGAUCCUCAUACUGAGCUAAAACCAGAGCCAUGUAGCCCUCAUGGUUGUACGAGUUGUCCCAGAUUUUGCCAAGGGAUAAGUCCUUAUGGAGGGUCAAGAUCAAUCUAGCGAAAGCCAGAGUUCUUUCCACCCUUUAUAUUCAAGUUGUUAGAAAGCUUAUUUUAUUGUUUAUUGUAUAUCCAAAUAUUCUUGUUACAAGAUCAUGGAUUAAUAAUCAAGCACUAGCAAAAACUACCCAAAUGCAUAUCCAAAUAGGUAUCAAGGAAUUUAAGAUAGCAAGCAACUAUGAUUUCGCUAGGGUUGUCAAGGUGAACACAUGCAUAUGAUAUAUGUGUAAUUAUAAGUGUAUAGGUAACAAGGAUGAUCCCCAGUUAUACUUGCCUUGAUCAAAGCUCUCCUGAGCCUGCUGGUCUUCAAAAGCUUGGUCUUGAUCACCAACGUACAGCUCACCGUCUAAUCCCAAUCAUCAAUCAACAACACGCAAUCCAAUGUAGACAAUCAUACACGAAGCAAACAAGAUAUAAUUAGAACAAUACACCAAACAGUGGUAAAACAAAUAUAAAAGUUUAUCAAAAUAUUCUACGCAGCACUACGAUCACAUAAACGUAAAGUUCACGAAAAUCGGAAUUAAAACGGAGAAGUUAUGCAUUUUCCAAGAUUUCCUAUAGAGAAAUAAUUAAUUAAAUAAUACCAGGAAAUUUAAAUGUUUAAAAACAGUAAACUAACAUUUCUAUCAUGUAGAUCAUGUAAUUACGAACCUAACGGAAUUUGAAUGGACAAAAACGGAGUUAAAAUGAAUAUUUUAUGAGCAUUAUAAAAUCAGUGGCAAUUCUGUAAUUUCUGCAAAACGUAUUUGAACUCGGCCGACAGAAAAUACGCUUUCCCACUUCGAAAACGGAAUCUUGCUCAGGGCGCCAAGGACCGCGGGGCAAAUAUGGAAAACUAUCAGGGACUCUUUACGAAGAAUUGCAGCGAAAGGGUAUGUUUUCAAGAAAGAAAAACACCGGGAUGAAGAGGAGCUCACCACGAUCUCGUCUAAGCGCUUGGUUGGGUCCGAGAGAGAACGGAGAGGGCUUGCCGCGGAGAGGAACAAGAUCGGCCACGCCGAGAUCCGAACUCCAGAGAAUACGGCGACUAGGGCUCGGUUUCACAACUUGGAUGCAAAGAGGGAGCCGCGGGGUUUACCUAGGGCUUUAUAGGGGCUUGAUUUGCACAAAAGGCAAGAGAAUCCCGCUGUUCCCGGGAUUGAGUCGGCCGGUUUGUGAGUCCGGGUCGACUACGAACAGAGGUAGGGGACGAGCGCUGUCCCGCAGGCCCCACUUGUCAUAGAAAGAAGGGUGGGACCCGACUGUCAGCGGGUCAAGAAGAGGGGAAGGAAAAUCGCGCCUGGUAGCCUGACUGCUGGGCCGCACAGCGCGUUGGGCUGGGGCGGAGGAAUUGGGCCGGGCGAGGGAGAAGAAUGGGAGAGGGGUUUUUUUUUCCUUUUCUUUUCUUUUGUUUUCUUAUUAUUCCAAAGCUAUUUUCACAUCAUUUCAAAACAUUUUGAAUUAUUUUAAAAUUUUGAGUUCAAAUACACUCAUCACAAUAAAUAGAAUGCAAAGGCAUGCAUGCUCAAGCAUGUUUUCUACGUCCUACGAUGAAUUUUAGUUUAAUGAAAAAUAUUAUUUUCCUAUGUUUCAUGAGCACAAAAAUUCAUAAUUAAAUCAUUUUAGCUCUAUUUCCCAGAAAACAAUUUUUAGGGUGUUACAAAUCUACCCCCCUUUAGAUGAAUCUCGUCCUCGAGAUUCGGAAGAUGGUGAUCAAAGAGAUGUAGAUACUCCACUUUUGAACCUUGUUCACUUCCUUGAGUAGCUCUUUCUUAGUAACCAUUCUAUGGCCUUUGUCACUCCGAACAUCUCCAUCAAUGGUUCCCAAGAGUUCAGCAAUGUAAUUCGUAUAGAUAAGGUUUUUUUUUUACUCAUAGCUUAUCUGGGGUAUAUGUUCCUUGCCCAUCCAUUUAAAACCUGAUGCAUUUCCAACCAUGAUAUACUCAACUUUCUCCUUAUUACUUUCAUCGUCCCAUUUCACAAUCAUCCUUCUCCUUCUUCCAAAGUGAGCCCUAUCAAUUUCCAAAUUUGUAGUGUUAGUAAUAUCACUCAACCUCCGCACACAAAUCCUCAAAUCUAGGUGUUGUCCAAACUUUUCCUAGCACACUCUUUAUGAUAAGAGCUUUGGCAUCGACAUAUACUUCUCCAUAAUCCCACCACUAGAGACAACAUAUUCAAUUUAGAGAACUUAGUUCACUCAAAACUUACUAGCCAUGCAUGGUGAAAUAAUAAGGUUUCAUAACUCUCUGAAGAAUCAUCCGUAGAUGUUCGAUAUCUCUUUCCAAUAUCAUUAAUGUCAUCUUGUCUUGGGCAUGUUGGCAGUUGAACCUCCAUUUGAUAAUAGCUCAAUGUGGAGACCAAUCUUGACGAAUACCUGAACUCAUUGGUGCAAAGAGUAACCACUCUUGAGCAAAGAUAUUUGUGGUUGAUAGGGAGUUGUCCACCAAAGGAAUAAC
rnacentral:lncRNA from 1 species